AAGUCGUAACAAGGUCUCCGUUGGUGAACCAGCGGAGGGAUCAUUAUUAGAAGCCGAAAGGGCUACUUAAAACCAUCGCGAACUCGUCCAAGUUGCUUCGGCGGCGCGGCCUCCCUCACGGGGGCGCCGCAGCCCGCCUCUCCGGAGGCGUGGGGCACCCGCCGGAGGUACGAAACUCUGUAUUAUAGUGGCAUCUCUGAGUAAAAACAAAUAAGUUAAAA
rnacentral:misc_RNA from 1 species